GUUCCAGCUUAGGGUCGGAAUCGUUAGCGAAGUCGAGAGAUGGAGCUAAUCUGAGAAAGCCGAUCGUAGUCCGGAUUGGAGUCUGCAACUCGACUCCAUGAAGUCGGAAUCGCUAGUAAUCGUGGAUCAGAAUGCCACGGAGAAUACGUUCCCGGGCCUUGUACACACCGCCCGUCACACCAUGGGAGUGGGCUGCAAAAGAAGUGGGUAGUUUAACCUUCGGGAGGACGCUUACCACUUUGUGGUUCAUGACUGGGGUGAAGUCGUAACAAGGUAGCCCUAGGGGAACCUGGGGCUGGAUCACCUCCUUA
rnacentral:rRNA from 1 species